rnacentral:lncRNA from 1 species
UUCUGUAGAAUUUUGUGUCUAGCUAGUGAAGCAGAGUUAAGCCUGAAUGGAGGCGUUGGUUGAGCGAAAGGGUUCCCAUGUUUCUUGUUUGACAACAGUAUGAGCCUUUAGCAUCCACUUAAAGCAGCCCUACUAUACAUGCCAAAAAGAAGUUACAAAAUUAUUUGAUAAAAUACACAGAGGGUAAGUGGCAAAGUUAGAGGUAAUAUUGGACUCUAAAGGAAAGCAAAUUGCAUAAGAAUAAAAGAGGAAAGGUAUAAAAGUUAUAGAGGUAGUACUAGACACCAAGCAAAAGCAAAAUUGCAUUAUAUAGUAAUGGAAAUUGAUACAGAGCAAUGAUUUUAUUAGUACGAGUCUCAUCAGGAACCAGAUUAAGACCCCUCUGAAUGUCAAGCAAACACUGUAAGCUCAGAGCAACUACUUUGAAAAUCUUCUGAUACAUCUGUUAGCAAAAUAUGGCCUUCCUGACCGUACGUAUGUAUUUAUACAUAUCUCCUGUACAUAUACUUGAACUUCUAGGAGAUUAAUGUACAUAUAGAUGGUUAAUAGUACAAUGACCAAAGUCAAGAAUCUUCCCAAGUUUCAUUCAAGUAUACAUCAUCAAAGUCAUAAAUUUGUCAAGAUUAAACGAAAGAAUCAUCUAUAUACAAAGAACAUUCAUAUGGAAAAUAUAAAUGAAUAUUAUAUGAAUUCAUUAAGUUACAUUAACCAAAGUCAAGUAACUAUUUAGAUACAUUCAAGAUUCUUAAUGGAUGUCUAUCCAUAUAUUAAUGCAGAUACAUAGUAUAUUGACAUAUUUGAAUGUAGAUGAAGAGUUAAUAGUCCUUAUCCAUUAUAACUCUUGAUGAGUAAGAUCAUGAAGAGACACUUUAAAAGUGAGUUAGGGAAGUGGGACAAGACUAUAUUAAUAAGUUCACAUCUUGUAAAUCAAAACCCUAACAUGUUGAUGACAAAAGGAAGAUUGUAUAGACACUAAUGGUUAUCUAUUCCGCAUUAGCUGGUGAACACAAAGGCAGAGAACUAUUAGAUAUCAUACAGGUUUUACUUUAUUUCAUGGCAUAAGGUAUGUUUUUCUCUUAUGUUGUUUCUCUCGAUUUAUAAAUUUAGGCCUAAGAUCAUACCAUUUCUUACAAUGGGUACGAGCUACAUUGGUGUUUUAAACGGUUGAAGGCAAUCUGUCAAACUAAGUAGCUUCAGCCAACCAAAUACAUGAACGGGACAAUGAAAGAGCACAAAGGAAACCAGCAAAUUCGAAAUCAAUUCAAGCUCAAUUUCUCAAAUAAGUGUCUAUCUUUUAAGAAUUAAUUACAGACAAGUUGGUUUCAUUUGAUUGUUGGCCUUUUCCUACUAUGUUAAGGCGUUCUUUAACCUGCAUUUUUUGAGUUCUACUUUGGCAUUUCUACUUUCUUUAGACAGGAUUACUUUACAGCUACAAAACAAGAAUCAUGCUUAGUCCCAAACAAGUUAUGAUCAACUACAUGAAUCCUCAUUGACCAUGUAUCCAAUUUAAAUUCUACCUCAGUCAACAAUAUACAACAUAAAAAUAAAAACAAAAAUUAAGAGUAGCACAAGUUUUCUAUAUUUCCUACUGGCAUAAGAAUCUCUAAUAAGGCUAAAUCACUCCCAGAAAGCAUAAGACCUAAAUUAGAUGUAUUAACAUGGCUAAAAUAUAUUCCCAACUAAUCGGUGUCACUUACAAGUUUUUUUCUUUUAUUAUGCCAUAUUUUUCAGUAAAUCAACAUUGAUUCCAUGAGAUUGUAGGUGUUUCGGGACAACUUCUUUUCAUGUGAUUUUAAGUCUACCUUGGCCCCUUUUAACAUCUUUAUUCAGCAUGGUUUCACACCUAUUGAACAACCCAUUUGGAGGUCAACGCAAGACAUGAUCAAACUAUGUCAAGUGACCUUUUCUCAUUUUAUCAUUGAUAUAUGCUACUUGCACCUUCUGGUGAAUGUGGCCAUCUUUAAUCUUGUAUGACCACGUCAAUCUUAACUUUCGUAUCUCCGCGAUACUUAUCUUGGAUGUAUUUAACUUUAGCAACCUAAUAUUCACUCCCAUAUAACAGUGCCGGUCUUGUAAGUAUUCUAAUAUAAUUUACCUUUCACUUUGGUAAACCUUUGAUAAAACUUCUACGGAUAAAAGUUAGUUUUCUUAUAACUAUCUUAAUUUCUAACUCAAUAUUACCUGCUCUAACAAAACUUAGAUAUUAUUAUUAAUCUUCAAUAUAAAAAAUUUAUUCAAAACACUCUCCAAUUUGCUAAUAUUAGUAUUAAACUUUGAUAUAUGUUUUUUUCAAAAAAUAUUUUUUAUUCACUAACCAAACCUCGAAAAACAAAUGAUCUGUCACAACAAACACUAAUAUUUCGAAAGAUUUGAAAGACAAACUUACUUCUUGAAUGUAGAUAUCAAAAUGAGUAACUAAAAAAAUGAAUGUGUGAUAACACCUUUUCAAUCAAAGGGGAUGAAGCUAUCAAAUAAACUCAAACAAGGGCUAAAGUAUAACAUAUCAAAUUUCAAUCAUAGGAAGCUAUCAAAUAAACUCAAAUAAGGGCUAAGUAUAAUAUACCAAAAGAUACUACUACAAUGUUAUCAGAGUUGUAGGAUAUGUAUAAUAUCUAGUAAUCAAUGUCUAUUCUAAUUAGAUAAAACAAAUAGUCUACAGUCAAAUACAAAAUAUCCUAAAAUAUCUUCUAGAAUAUGCUAUAUGAUUUUCCCUAUUUAAGUAAAAUAAAUAUAGACAUGUAUGAAUUUAAAUACAUAUUCUUUUGACGCUCAAGCUCUCAAAUAGGUUUAUAUCUCUCUAGAUAUAACGGAAUUGGUUUGGUUUCAUUUGAUUCUUGGCCCUUCCCUACUUUAUUAAGGCGCUCUUAACCUGCAUUUUCUUGUCCUACUUUCUCAAGUAGGAUUACUCCAAUUUGCAAAACAUCCUACUUUUCAUUAUUAAAAUUUGUGGAUCACUACUCAAGAUAUAUGGUCAAAUGGCUAAUAUAUUUUUCACUGACCAACCAAUCAACAAAAUUUUUGAGGAAAAUAUGACUUCCAUCAUACCAGACACGAAAUUGUGGUGUUUGUUAAAAAACGGGUGAUAUUUUUUAUAUCAAAUUUUCUGGGUUUCGAAAAAAAAAAAACAGUUUAUUUUUCAACCAAGAUUGUUUAUCCAAGAUUGGUGAAUUGUUAAUUUUCAUUAAAGAAAGUUUUUUGAACUUCAAAAAAAAAAUCAAAAAAUAUUUUACAGUUUUCUUGGUUCAAGAGUUUUCCAGUUUUGUAAAACAAAAGCCACCGAUCUAACUGUCCACGCCGCCUUUGAAGCUAGCUCUAUCGCAUUAACGGCCAUGGAAUUACAGAAGAGUGUAGCGGCAAUUAAAAAUUCGAAUUCCAAGCACCAAAAAACCAAGAAACUGAAUCAAGCUUACUCGGUCUUCUUGUCCGUACGAAACAGAAAACAAGUUCUUGGCGCUCUAAUUCGCUGCUUAUUUGGUGAAAAUCCUAAAGAUUCGACUUCUCGACUACUUACGGUUCACAUUCGUUAAAAUUAUCAUUUCUACUUUCUAGAAAGUGCAUACAGAUUUAAGUACUUUUCAAAGAAAUGAAGAUUUAAACCCUAAUUCCGUAGAGUGUUCUUGAACUCUUGCGAGAAUACAAUCUUCAGAUAAAGAACAUACAUACGUAUUUACGCUCUUCUGAAUUUUUCUCUGAGCCUACUACGCGAAUCAAUUUCAGGCAGAAAAUUGAAAAGAAAUCAUUGAAUUUUCUUCAUAGAAGAACUCAUUUUCUAUUUUUGUUCAUUCAAAGGAUAUUUCAACAUCAAAACAUAAUGUUAAAAUGAUAUUCUAUUUUCGAGAAAUUCAAUUGACAUUAAAAUUUUCAACAUUAUGUUACAGUCUUUAGUAUAACGUGUGCACUUGUUUUGAGUUCUUGAACAAUAUCAAUGUAAGCGAAAUAAUUAGCGAAAAAGAAUUGAAAAUCCAGAAAAGGAAAGUGGACUUGCCUCUUGUUUUCAACAAUUGUCAAAAUGGGACCAAGUUGCUCUCCAAUCUAGCCUCUUGGAAAAUGAGAAAACAGAAAAGAAAAUCUCAAGCAAAAAUUUUGUAAGACGUUUCUUUUAUGUUAGAAGAAUCAAUAGAAAAGAGAAGGAUACAUGUAACAAGUUGGUUAUAAGUUCUAAACUCAAGUGAAGCCUUUAUUUUCCUCUUUGUGUAAUUGUGUUUUUUGGGUUCUC